rnacentral:tRNA from 1 species
AGUCUCGAGGUGUUUUACAUAUUAGAUUGCAAAUCUAAAGAAGCAGGCGAAAGUCUGCCGGGACUU